rnacentral:misc_RNA from 1 species
AGAAACACCUGGAAGCUGCACGACUGAUGUUUCAGAGUAUCGUUUGAUCUUAUCCAAUUUAAAUGCAUUGACGGGCGAUAGUUAUCGUGAUAAGUGGUUAGAUAAACUUCUGGAAGGAAUUCAAACAGCUUGCAAUCCAAAUCAAGAAGCUUUAACUGAUGAUAAGAAGGGCAAUCUUGCAACUUCAGAUCUCACCAGUAAUGGCAACGGUGGUGCAUCAACUGUUACUGAACCCAAGGAAAACAAU